rnacentral:rRNA from 3 species
UACGGAGGGUGCGAGCGUUGUCCGGAAUCACUGGGCGUAAAGGGCGCGUAGGCGGCGCGGAUAGUCGGCGGUGAAAGCCCGGAGCUCAACUCCGGGUCGGCCGUCGAUACUUCCGGGCUUGAGCACUGUAGAGGCAGAUGGAAUUCCGGGUGUAGCGGUGGAAUGCGUAGAGAUCCGGAAGAACACCGGUGGCGAAGGCGGUCUGCUGGGCAGUUGCUGACGCUGAUGCGCGACAGCGUGGGGAGCAAACAGG